CCCGCCUCCCCCCCCCCCCAGGAGGGAGCAGAAAGUUAGAGCUGCGGGCUGGUCCCCGGGGCGGGGAGGGCAACUGCACCCCUUUCCCGCGCCCCCGGCUGGGAUGGGGCCCGGAGCGAGGGGAAGGGGCUGCGGGGUUCCUGGUUUGGGGAGGAGGGGCUGGGAAAAGGGUGCGGGGAGCAGCCUCCUCGGAGAAAUGGACAGUGUAACCCACGCCCAGGCCCUGGAUAAGCCCUCCGGCUCGGACUUGGACGUUGGGGAGAAACCUUAAGAGAACCAGGCCCGGCCACCUCCUGCCCCAGGGAAGGAAAAGAAGGCUCCCGGGGUGAACCCUGCGGCCCGGACUCAGCUCCGUUAUUGACCUUCAGCAAGUUCUCAGCCCGGAGGAGAGUGUCUGUGUCAAGAAAGAAUUAUUUCAUGGCUGAGCACUCUAUGUGUAAACAUGGCACUAGAUAUUGCAUGCUAUUCCAAAAAAUAAAAAUAAAAAAAAGUUUAGGAGUCUUAAAUGCUCAAGAAAGCAAAGCAUGUGUGCAUUGAGUCUUAUGAAGAGUUCUCUGAGCCAUCCUCUGCCACUCUCUCUGGAAGAUGGCCCAGAAGCUCCUGAACUCACUUUGCCUUUGAGCACAGACAACCAGAGAGAACCAUCUGGGAGCUAACUUUCCUCCCAGUGCACCUUCCCAAGGACUGCCCUACAGAGCAUAAAAGCCCAGCCCCAUUGCCUCUAUUAGUAAGAAAACCUGAGAUGUCAUUUAUACCCCAAAGCUCCCCUGCAGGGUCAUGCUGAUGCGAGAGUUUUGCCUGAAAUCGCUUCCCUCAGUAUCUUGCUUACUCUGGUAACUUAGUAUUGAUCUUAGUUUUGAGAGGCAAUAUCUUGUCCAAAGUCUCUGCAACUCAAGAAUGUACUCAAACAAUAGUCAGUCACCUAGUCCUGUGCAAAAACAAUCUGAGGAAAGCACAACGUAAAAGGGAGAUGCCAUCUUGCCUCCAUGAUUCGACAAGCAUGAAGAUAAAAGCUUCACUGUGAGCAUGAUGGAGCCAAAUGACAGAAAGGGACCUAGACUCCCUCCCUUCACACUUCUUGUUAUGUGAGGUUAAUAAAAUGCUGUUAUUAUCCUCAGCAUGGGCUUCUACUUCAUGUAACUAAAUAUGUCAUAAGUCAUACAAUAUGAAUAAAAUUGGUAAAAGUAUUCAUUUUAAAGGCUUAAUCUGAGAGACUCAUGAUACCUAACACAAUCAAAUCUCCAAAAAAUGGUAGUUCUUUAAUUCAUUGUAAUUUUGAAUUGAUCUUGUACAGCCUCUCGUUACCAAACUAUUAAAUUCAUUUGAACAUU